GUGUGCUAUUGCCCGGUCGGUGUUGUAGUAUCACUGUUUGUGUGUUUUCACUCAUCGGUAGUUGUCGGUUAGGCUGUAGUAUGUGUGUGAUCAUGUUUGCUGGCUGGAGUGGCUGUGUGUGCGGGUGGCUAGGCCAGCAGUUCGUAGUAAGUGUUAAGUCCAGAGUUAGCAAAUGUCCUGGCUGGGUAGUAGGCUUGGGGUUAUCGGGAGAUCUGGAGUCACUCCAAGCGGG